CAACUCUCGGGGUCGCACCUGGAGAGUUUCCAGGACUCUACCAGUCUCGACUAUGGGAGAGAGUCAAGCAAAAGGAACUUUUUUCAUUCCUAGCUUGGGCAGUGGCUAGCGAGUGGAAGGCAAUCUGCUACAAGU